rnacentral:rRNA from 1 species
GCGAACGUUAGCGGCGGGCCUAACACAUGCAAGUCGUACGCGAAAGGGCUUCGGCCCCGGUAGCGUGGCGUCCGGGUGAGUAACACGUAGGGAAUCUACCCUGGAGUGGGGGAUAACGUUCCGAAAGGAACGCUAAUACCGCGUAAGACCACGACGGCUAUGGCCGACGAGGUCAAAGGUGGCCUCUAUUUAUAAGCUAUCGCUCCAGGAUGGCCCUGCGGCCCAUCAGCUAGUUGGUAGGGUAAUGGCCUACCAAGGCAAAGACGGGUAGCUGGUCUGAGAGGAUGAUCAGCCACACUGGCACUGAAACACGGGCCAGACUCCUACGGGAGGCAGCAGUGGGGAAUAUUGGUCAAUGGGCGCAAGCCUGAACCAGCCACGCCGCGUGAGUGAUGAGGGCCUUCGGUGUAAG